rnacentral:rRNA from 1 species
ACCAAAUUACCACAUUGAAAACACCGGUUCUCGUCCGAUCACCGAAGUUAAGCAAUGUCGGGCCCGGUCAGUACUUGGGAGGGUGACCACCUGGGAACACCGGGUGCUGUAAGCU